rnacentral:rRNA from 1 species
GUGGGGAAUAUUGGACAAUGGGCGCAAGCCUGAUCCAGCCAUGCCGCGUGAGUGAUGAAGGCCUUAGGGUUGUAAAGCUCUUUCAGUGGGGACGAUAAUGACGGUACCCACAGAAGAAGCCCCGGCUAACUUCGUGCCAGCAGCCGCGGUAAUACGAAGGGGGCUAGCGUUGUUCGGAUUUACUGGGCGUAAAGCGCACGUAGGCGGAUCGUUAAGUCGGGGGUGAAAUCCUGGAGCUCAACUCCAGAACUGCCUUCGAUACUGGCGAUCUUGAGUCCGGAAAAGGUGAGUGGAACUCCUAGUGUAGAGGUGGAAUUCGUAGAUAUUAGGAAGAACACCAGUGGCGAAGGCGGCUCACUGGUCCGGUACUGACGCUGAGGUGCGAAAGCGUGGGGAGCAAACAGGAUUAGAUACCCGAGUAGUCC